UACGGGGGGGGCAAGCGUUGUUCGGAAUUACUGGGCGUAAAGGGCUCGUAGGCGGCCCACUAAGUCGGAUGUGAAAUCCCCAGGCUCAACCUGGGAACUGCAUCCGAUACUGGAUGGCUUGAAUUCGGGAGAGGGAUGCAGAAUUCCAGGUGUAGCGGUGAAAUGCGUAGAUAUCUGGAGGAAUACCGGUGGCGAAGGCGGCAUCCUGGACCGACAUUGACGCUGAGGAGCGAAAGCUAGGGGAGCAAACGGG
rnacentral:rRNA from 1 species